GAAAGUAUAGCUUAAUGUAAAGUUUCAAAUUUUUACUUUGAAGAUGGUUUUUCUUGCUUUUA
rnacentral:tRNA from 1 species